UUUAAAAACAUUUUCUUUUUUUUCUAGAAAGUUUCUGAGAUCAAUCGCAAGAUUUCUGAAUUUUUUGGCAGAAAUUUACUCUAUUUUUUUGUUUGCAAUAUGCAAUACCAUCAUAUAGAAAAGAUUUACAAAUAAAUACAUUUUUUCACUUAUUUAAUGCAAAAUGUUUAGAAUUUUCUUUUACAGUUUUGGCUUAAUUAAUGCUCGUAGAAUGUUGUUCUUGUGGCAAACUGCAUUUUUUUCAAUCUCUGUACUCCAAUUAACAAUUAAUUGAUCACUAAAUCACAAUUAAUCAUGAUUAAUCUGGUUAAUCGUUUCAGCUUUAGUCCCAAAGUGCGGGUUUCUGUGAAACUGCCUGAGGAGACGAGUCCAGGCUGCAGUGUAGGGGUUAGAAAGAUCAAAUCUGAGGCUCUUCCAUGUUGGUUUUUCAUGUUUUACAUGAAAAUAUUCAUUUAAAACUCUCAAGAUUAAAUCCUGGAUGACUGAAAAUUUGCAUCAGCGUGUUCAGAAACUCCCUUCAGAUCCAGAGGAAGUAGAUUAAACUCUAAACGUUGUUUCUCUAUAUAAUUUCUCUAUAUAAUCUCUCAGCUUCACUGCCAUGCAUCGCUCAGUACUUGAGUAGAAAAUAAUAAUUUAUUUCCUUUUGUUUUCCGUAUUUCCUGCAGAGGUAAAACUUGUAAGUGUUUUAUUAUUUAAGUACUGUCUGUGUUAACGUGUAAUGGCUGGUGACCAUACAUACAUCUCAGAUAUAUCGUAAUUUUUUGUUCUUGUUUGUUUUUGUUGAGUUGUAUUUCUGUUUAAGUUUAUCCAGAUCCAAACUCUUCGUUUGGUUCUGGAGUCAGAAAUGUGUUUGUAGAAGGAAAACGUUUAAUACGAGCUGAAAUCUGGCUGGUGGUGUUUUCCACCAAGCGGCCAUUUUGGGAGGACUAUUUUUGAGGCGGAUUAACACGUUUUGCCUGGGGGCAUUGUGUUUCAUUCAGUUGGAAAUCUGCUUAAGAGAAAUAAAGAUAUUUCGGGUGGAUUUUAUGGUUGAGAAAAACAUAAGUUCUCCUUUUAAAGAGACUUGAUGUGUCAACAAAGUGAUGUAAUUUGUGUUAAAUCAAACCAAAUCAGCUCCGCGCAGUAUUAGCAUUUAACGCUUUGUUAUUCCAAAAGCAUUUAUCGUAUUUUACGUUGAGUUAUGUAUGCUUUUUUUAUUUUUUCAUAGAGUCUGCAAAUCAGUUUGUUUGUUUUUUUCAGAUGCCAGAACUUUUUUGUUCUUUUUUUGGUUGUUUUUUUUUGGAAAUAUGUAACAAAGCGUUACCGCUUGACUGUUCUCCCUUUAUUUCAUUUAGAUUUAUUUUAUCAAAGAGCCGAUGUCCUGUAUUGACUGCAGGCUUACUUCUAUAUUUGAAAAAAAAAAUUAAAUGUAUGUUUAAUAAUAAAAAGUUGCAAAAAAUAAAAAAAAAUCUAGAAAAUGAAAAGACAAUUUAAAAAAAAUGUAUUUAUAUUUUAAAAUGCAUGCACAUGACUGGGGAAGUUGUAUUUAGAAUAACAAAUGGCAGUGCCUUUUUUCUAUACUUGACACAUCAACAUCAUGAAAAAGCAAAACGCAAUAAAUGGUUUUGUAUCGAUUUUUAUGUUUCGGCUUUGGGAGAAUGACAGCUGAGUGGAGUUCACGUUCAGAAACAACCAGUUUAAUUUUUAAAAACUUCCAUCCAAAAAGUUUUCAUUUUUGAGUUUGCAGUAUUUUAGCAUCUGCUAAAUGUUUAACUUAAUAUGAUUUAACUAAAAAAUGCAUUAAUUCAUUCAUACUUGAUGCAGUUUAUCAUUUUUAAACCAACCAAUGUUUAAUCAAUUUGCAAACUCCUUGCAUCAAUAAUAAAUCUUACUUUCAGCAGUUUUAUCACCUGAAUAUUCACAGAACUGGUUAAGUUUCACAAACUGAACCUCCAGAUUUAGAUUUCUUUGAUUAUCUUUGUAAUAAAAUAAUCCAGAUGCGUACAGAAGUUUGAAUAAAUGAGCGUGAACGUGAGCCCGGCUGCUUAAACUGGUUGGUACCUGUUGAAUCCUUGUUGUCUUCACACAUAUUUCUGGUGUGAAAAUUGAAUUAUUUUGAUGUGUUUUGUACUUUUGCUGCGAUGUACCAGAAUGCUGUGAUUUGGCAUGCCCCCAAUUUAUAUAAAAACAAACAAAACGCC